GACGAACGCUGGCGGCGUGCUUAACACAUGCAAGUCGAACGGAAAGGCCUGCUUUCCCUUGUGGAUUGCGGGUACUCGAGUGGCGAACGGGCGAGUAACACGUGAGUGAUCUGCCCCCAACUUGGGUAUAAGCCUGGGAAACUGGGUCUAAUUCCCGAUCGGACUGCAGGGUGGUGCCUGUGGUGGAAAACGAUUUUCUAGUGGUUGGGGAUGAGCUCGCGGCCUAUCAGCUUGUUGGUGGGGUAAUGGCCUACCAAGGCGGCGACGGGUAGCCGGCCUGGGAGGGUGGACGGUCAAAUUGGGACUGAGAUACGGCCCAGACGCCUACGGGAGGCAGCAGUGGGGAAUAGUGCACAAUGGGCGGAAGCCUGAUGCAGCGACGCCGCGUGGGGGAUGACGGCCUUCGGGUUGUAAACUCCUUUCGACCGCGAGGAAGCCACCUGGUUGGAAGGGUGGUGACGGUAGUGGUAGAAGAAGCACCGGCUAACUACGUG
rnacentral:rRNA from 1 species